rnacentral:rRNA from 1 species
GACGAACGCUGGCGGCGUGCCUAACACAUGCAAGUCGAGCGGAGAUAUUUAGCAAUAAAUAUCUUAGCGGCGGACGGGGGAGGAACGCGUGGAUAACCUGCCUCAAACAGGGGGAUAACACAGGGAAACGUGUGCUAAUACCGCAUAAUACAGUGGAUUGGCAUCAAUUGACUGUCAAAGGAGAAAUCCGGUAUGAGAUGGAUCCGCGUCCAAUUAGGUAGUUGGCGGGGUAAAAGGCCACCAAGGCGACGAUUGGUAGCCGAACUGAGAGGUUGAUCGGCCACAUUGGGACUGAGACACGGCCCAGACUCAUACGGGAGGCAGCAGUGGGGAAUAUUGCGCAAUGGGGGAAACCCUAACGCAGCAACGCCGCGAGAAGGAUGAAGGUUUUCGGAUCGUAAACUUCUUUGAUGAGGGAAGAAUAAAUGACGGUACCUCAAAAACAAGCCACGGCUAACUACGUGCCAGCCGCCGCAGUAA